rnacentral:rRNA from 1 species
CCUACGGGUGGCAGCAGUGGGGAAUAUUGGACAAUGGGCGAAAGCCUGAUCCAGCCAUGCCGCGUGUGUGAAGAAGGCCUUCGGGUUGUAAAGCACUUUCAGUGGGGAAGAAAGCCUUGGGGCUAAUACCCUCGAGGAAGGACAUCACCAACAGAAGAAGCACCGGCUAACUCCGUGCCAGCAGCCGCGGUAAUACGGAGGGUGCGAGCGUUAAUCGGAAUUACUGGGCGUAAAGCGCGCGUAGGCGGUCUGAUAAGCCGGUUGUGAAAGCCCCGGGCUCAACCUGGGAACGGCAUCCGGAACUGUCAGGCUAGAGUGCAGGAGAGGAAGGUAGAAUUCCCGGUGUAGCGGUGAAAUGCGUAGAGAUCGGGAGGAAUACCAGUGGCGAAGGCGGCCUUCUGGACUGACACUGACGCUGAGGUGCGAAAGCGUGGGUAGCGAACAGGAUUAGAUACCCCGGUAGUC